rnacentral:rRNA from 1 species
GAUGAACGCUGGCGGCGUGCCUAAUACAUGCAAGUCGAGCGAACAGACGAGGAGCUUGCUCCUCUGACGUUAGCGGCGGCCGGGGGAGUAACACGUGGUUAACAUCCCUAUAAGACUGGGAUAACUUCGGGAAACCGGAGCUAAUACUGGAUAAUAUAUUGAACCGCAUGGUUCAAUAGUGAAAGACGGUUUUGCUGUCACUUAUAGAUGGAUCCGCGCCGUAUUAGCUAGUUGGUAAGGUAACGGCUUACCAAGGCAACGAUGCGUAGCCGACCUGAGAGGGGGGUGGGCCACACUAGAGCUGAGGCACGGUCCAGACGCCUACGGGAGGCAGCAGUAGGGAAUAUUCCUCAACGGGCGAAAGCCUGACGGAGCAGCGCCGCGUGAGUGAUGAAGGUCUUCGGAGCGUAAAGCUCUGUUAUUAGGGAAGAACAAAUGUGUAAGUAACUAUGCACGUCUUGACGGUAGCUAGUCAGAAAGCGACGGCUAACUACGUG